GGCCUCGUAGCUCAGCUGGUAGAGCAUACGCGUACAGAGCGUAGGCAGCGUCCAUACGUGGGUUCGAAUUCCAUCGAGGCUA
rfam:Echinostoma caproni strain Egypt genome assembly, scaffold: ECPE_scaffold0004201